rnacentral:rRNA from 1 species
GAAGCGGAGUGAUCUAUCCAUGGGCAGGUUGAAGCGUCGGUAAGACGACGUGGAGGACCGAACCCACCUAGGUUGGAAAACUGGGGGGAUGACCUGUGGAUAGGGGUGAAAGGCCAAUCAAACUCCGUGAUAGCUGGUUCUCCCCGAAAUGCAUUUAGGUGCAGCGUUGCGUGUUUCUUGCCGGAGGUAGAGCACUGGAUAGCCGAUGGGCCCUACAAGGUUACUGACGUUAGCCAAACUCCGAAUGCCGGUAAUUGAGAGCGCAGCAGUGAGACUGCGGGGGAUAAGCUCCGUAGUCGAGAGGGAAACAGCCCAGACCAUCAGCUAAGGCCCCUAAGCGGUGACUAAGUGGAAAAGGAUGUGGAGUCGCAGUGACAACCAGGAGGUUGGCUUGGAAGCAGCCACCCUUGAAAGAGUGCGUAAUAGCUCACUGGUCAAGUGAUUCCGCGCCGACAAUGUAGCGGGGGCUCAAGUCAUCCGCCGAAGCUAUGGCAUUCAU